GCAAGAAUGACAUAUGGCCAGAGAUGUUCUCUGUGCCCCUUGCUGCAAUUAAUCUUUCUGUUCUUUUGAUUAAUUGCUGACAUAUACUGGAUCACUCCCCAUUUAUGACCUCAUAGCUUUCUCUGUCCCUCAGCAGUGUACCAACUGGUUCUCUAUGACAUACACAGAAAUACCAGGGCCCAUCCAUUUUCAGGUCAUCUUAAAUUCAGAUUCAUCUUCUAUUUGGGUAAAUAUGGUACAUUAAAGGCUCCAAGGUUCAGGGGAAUAUUUUUGGGCGGUGCAGCAGCUGCAGAAGCAAGGUAAAACACCUCUCCCCACCCACCACAUGCUCUGCCACAGUCUUAGUCUGGGAUGCAGCAACACUACCACCACCGCCGCCCUGGUGCUUUGUUCGUCAGUAUGUUAGCCAAUGCCCUUCUUGAUUAAAAGGCUCGUAAAUCUAGGAGACAAACACACGUUUUAUCAUGAAAGGACUCCCUUUUAGAUGUGUGGGGAUACUAAAUUGAAGCAAUGUAACAUUUUAAAUAUCUUCACACAAUUUAUUGAAGAGAUAAUGUUGCAGGAAGGAGUUCUUUCAAUUAUUUUAGUGAUCAAAUCAUCCCCAUUUUUUCACAAAAACAAAUAAUGGGCAAAUAUAUUUGUAUUGUGCUUAGCUUUUACAUGAGAAUCAAGUAGUCCAGUAAUCCUUUUCUGUACAAAAUAUUUACAACAUUGUUAUGCACAUUUACAAUAUAAUGUAUACAUUAUUUAAUUAAAAAAGCAACGCUUUAAUUAACAACAAACCAUGGUUUUGGAUUUAAUCAACAAUAUUAAGCACAAUGUUAGGAUCUAACUGGAACAGAGGGGAGGGGUGGGUGGGUGUUCUAUCACUUGAAAUCCAGUGGAGAGAAUGUACAGAGAUUGCAUCAAUAUUUUGAUCACAUUUCAAAAUGAAGGCAACUACUGUAUAUCUACCACACUGCAAUCUGGGGAAUUUACAUGCAGAUGAAAAUUAAGCAAAAUAUAUAUUGGAUUUCAUUGAGAAGUGUCUUGUUAUAUACAUCCUUAUGAAUAUUUCAGGUUAGACACUGGAUGCACAAUUUACAUGGCAGCAUAACUGCACUUAAGCCAGCCUAGCUGCAAAUGGCUUAAGUAGAACAUGCUGCAUAUUAAUCCACAGGCAAAGCUCCGAUACCACUCCUAUAAAAAUGUUGUGAGCAAUUUGUGUUGAUCCAGACCCAGACGGGUCAAUAAUGCUCUUCUCUCUGGCAAGAAAAACCCUUACCACUAGAGGGGGUAACCGGCAACAGGCAGGUGCUGACUCACUACCAGUCACGCUCCUGACCUGGCAGCUGAAAAACCUGAAAUGAUAAGUCUGAAUGUGCUCAGAGCUGUCAUUUUCUGGUGAGACUCCGUAGUAGUUUUAUUUACCCAGAGAAACUACAUUUCCCCUGAUCCCAAGAGAUGAUGGUCCUUCCCAAGCAUGUUCAGAAUAGCAAUUUCUAUUGCUGCAGUCAGGCUGCCUGACAAUAAGCUUGGCCCCCACACCAAACAAUAAGGUGGCAUCUCAAAAUAUGCCACCUGAGACUCUACCAGAGGUCCCGAAGAGUAUUUGCUAAACUCCAGAUUAUUAGAGAGGCGAGGGGAUUAUCACCUAUUCCUAGAAGUGGUACUCAUUAAUUAUUAUUAAUAAUAAAUAAUAAUAAUGCUUCUGGAACUUUCUUGCACCUUGAGUCCCAGUCCCAUAUUUGUAUAUAUAAUAUUCAUCUCUAAUACUUCAUCUGGUUUGGCACUCCUGGAAUAAUUUCAGCACAAUUCCUAUUCUAACAUUGCACAGGUCUCCUUCACCUCGUACUUGACAGAUGGUCCUAUACUGCAGCAAUAAACCUCACAGAUGUAUGAAGUUCUGCUACCUAAAAUGAACUGACGUCUUAAGCCAUCUUUAAAUAUCCUCCCUCUGGAUGCUCCAACCAUCUGCUAUGAGGCUAGCAAUGCCUGGAGAUGGGGGCUUUCUCUGCUGUGACAACCUAUUUAUAGAAUUAUUUCCUCAGGGAGACCUGCCUGGCACCUCUUCUGAUGCUCAUUUGGCACCCAAUAAACACAAUAAUAAAGAACAUUAAAUCCUGCAGAAGGACCAGGGGGAUGUGUGGGGAUGUGGCAAGCUCCACCCCCACUGCAGACACAACCAAUGGCGAGCCCAGAUGAGGUGACACGUGCAAGGGUGGGAGGGAGGAGCGUGUGCCAGGAGGAGUUUGGCGAGACUCCACAGGGGUCGUGGCUGAGGAAGGUUGCAGCUGAGGGAGGUGAACGGUUGACCAGCUGAGGGAUGACAAGCAAGGAGAAGAGGCGCCUUCGGGAGUCGCUGGGCUGCCCGACGGCUGACACGCACCGGCCUGCCACCCGGUGAGGUGAGAGGCUCUGUGUGGGGUCAGCAGGAGGUGGGGGGAGGGCAAGGGAGACGGGAGGGGAAUGGGAGACUAGGGCAGAAGGAGCUGUACUGUCACACAGAUGCUCUGUCCCACGCAUGCCCCUGGUCCAUCUACAGGAAUUAAUAAUAUAGAAGAUUUAUUCUCCCAGGUUUUUUGCUCUUGAUAUUAUUUUUAUGCUGCUGUGUUUUUAUUUCUGCUAUUUUGUCAUGUUAGGAUUUUUAAUUAUUUAAGUUUUAUCUUGCAAGCUACUCUGGGAGUGACUUACAUUGGAAUAUGUGGUACAGAAGCAUGAAAAUAAGUUUGGUAUGGGAAAGUCAUAGCCAUAUUACUUUGCCAUUACUUGCAUGAGCUAUAAGGCUCUUGAAUAGGCGGGGCAUGCAUGAAAAAGUGAGAAGUUAAAGUGAGAUUUGUCAUGAAGAAUCCAGCCACUCUUUGCUGUUAAAUGGUUUCACUUCCUUCUUUCCUGCUCUCAGCAAUGCACAACACAGUUUGCCAAUACAGAGAUAGCUUACACUAGACAAUGAAAUGUACUAUACAGAGAAAUCCCUAGAUGACACAUGCAAGUGAGGUAAGACUUAAUUUGAACAUAAACUUGCUAAUAACUCUUGAUCCAAUUAGAAUGUCACCACUUCAGCUUCGUUGAGUGAGCAACUAACAGCAUACCACUCAAAGUGGCAUGCUACCAAAAAUAGUUCAUUCAUUUAAUUGCAAUGACCAUAAUUUCAGUUGAUUAGCAGUUAUGUCAGAGAUCAAGUGUUAUGUCAUGAUAAUUUCACAUUGCCUUUUAGUAACACUCGAUUCCUUGUAACAUGGUAGAUAUUGUCACUCUCAAAAACAGCCACUUUGUUAGAAAAGUGUGCAAUUACACCUUUCCGAUGUUAUGUUGGCAGGUCAUUUGGACACAUACUAUUUUCUUCAGAAUCAUUGUUCCACUUCUCAUUAUUGUAUCUUGAGAGGAAUAAGUUUUCUAGCUGAGCCAAGAAUUCUUCAGCAAUGAAACUAUUUGCCACAUUGUCCAGAGUCUUCCUCAUACACUCCAAUAGCUAGUUUAAAGUUGAAGGACAAACAAACACACACUGUGUAAAUGACACAGGAAGAAAAACAACCAGAAAUAUAUAGUGACUUUAGACAGAAAGGCUUUAACUAUUUAUGUUACACUUAAGGCAGUGUUCUUUGUGGCAAGAGCCAGUAGGGGCUCCCAUCAGCCCUAAGUGUGAUUCCCUGACUACUUGUUUAUUAAGUCUGUGCAAAACUUCAGUCAAAGCCAAAUAUUUCACACAGCUCCCAUGGCAUCAUGCAGAAGAGACUGUGCAGUCUACAUUUUCCCCAGCACUGGUGGGACUCCUUUAAGGGAAAUGGACUCUCUCAAGCUCCAGUGUCAUGGAAGAUACACAUGGAGGUGUCCUUCCCGGUGCCUUCCCCAUAGAGCUCUAAGAGGAAAGUGCUGGGAUACUUCCCACCAGUCCAUACACCUUCUAAGAUGGCACUGGGGUUUAACAGGACUCCAUUUCUCUUAAGAGAAACAGUGGCACUGGGGAAACUCCGCAGUGGCACUGGGGGAAACCCCAGGACGUGCAGAGGUCAGCACAGUGGGAAAGGGUUGUCACUCUGAAAGGUUUUUGCUAAAGUGGCUCCACACUUGAAAAAUAGUGAAGAUCACUGGAGUAAGGGAUCCUUUUCACUGAAGCCAACUGCUGAAUGGAAUAGAAAUGAAGGAAGGAUCCCAUGGUACUUUAACAAGUUUGAACUUCACAUUCUACUACAAAAUGUAAUUCUACAUAUGCAUUAUGUCAAGCAUUACAGAUAUACAAUGUUUUUGUGUUUUUUUACACAGAGAAAUAAUCUUCUCACAAAUAUCAAUAGCUUUGCAAACAUUCUUCAUGAACAUGCAUGUAAGAACAAAACAAAAUAGCCACUCUAAUUCAUAAAUGCCUCUUUCUACAGUCUAAUAAAAUUAUUUCACACUA